UUGAGAGACAAGCUCCAGCUUCAUAUAGUAGGAUUGUGGUCAUGUGAUGUGGUGAGGUCAGGUGACACGCUAUAUAUCUACUGCGGUAUAACAAGCACACAUCUCACACAUUCAUCUACUGAUAAAGAUACAACAAUGUGCUCACUAUGGAGUUUCCUGUUACUCUGGACUCUCUGGACCUCUUUGGUGAAUUGCCAGGAUUCUGUGGAAUACCAGAAUGACACCAUCACCGUCACAGAAGGAGAAAAUGUGGCUCUGUAUUGUUCUUUUAGAGUGAGUAACUUUAAAGGGUUAAGAUGGUACAAGGUGAACCCAGGAUCCAGUCCAGUUCAUAUCAUCUAUGCCCCCAUCAAAACAAGAGUAACAGAAGGAGAACUCACACUUGACUUUCAGGGUGACAGCUGUUUUCUGCACAUCCCGCGGCCCGGUGUAUCUGACUCUGCAUUGUAUCUCUGUGCUGUGCAUGAUGCACAGUGUGACACAAUCAUAGGAAGACCUGUGCAAGAACUUCACCUGCACAGAUAUUUUCCAUCACAAUUGGGAAUUUAAA